rnacentral:rRNA from 1 species
GUUAGGAAUAUUGGACAAUGGGCGAAAGCCUGAUCCAGCCAUGCCGCGUGAACGAUGAAGGCCUUCGGGUUGUAAAGUUCUUUAGCCGAUGAUUAUAAUGACUGUAGUCGGAAAAUAAGCCCCGGCUAACUUCGUGCCAGCAGCCGCGGUAAUACGAAGGGGGCGAGCGUUAUUCGGAAUCACUGGGCGUAAAGCGUGCGUAGGCGGUUUUGUAAGUUAGGAGUGAAGGCCCAGGGCUCAACCUUGGAAUUGCUCUUAAAACUGCAAGGCUCGAAUCUCGGAGAGGAUAGCGGAAUUUCCAGUGUAGCAGUGAAAUGCGUAGAUAUUGGAAGGAACACCAGUGGCGUAAGCGGCUAUCUGGACGAGUAUUGACGCUGAGGCACGAAAGCGUGGGGAUCAAACAGGAUUAGAUACCCUGGUAGUCC